rfam:Leuconostoc mesenteroides subsp. cremoris ATCC 19254 contig00011, whole genome shotgun sequence.
GGGUCUGUUUUUGGAAUUCGACAGGUCGUUUAGAGCAUUGAUUGCGUUUCGCCAUCCGGGCGCAAAACGGGCAGAAAUUUUAACUGCAAAAAACGAAAACUCUUUCGCUAUCGCUGCCUAAAAACCAGUGAUGCGUAGCUUAAUCUUGGUUGCUGGCGUCUGAGGUUAGGCCAUAAAAGGCCAGAUCGUACUGCUUCUUACAUCUGGAAAAGCAGUAUUAAAUCAAUCAGGUUAGUUAUAUUGAAGAGCCUUGAGCUAUGGCAGACAAUAUAAUGAACUACAAAUAAUAGCCCUAUAAACGUAGAUAUUGGUGUAUCGGGCGAUUUGGACAGGGGUUCGACUCCCCUCAGAUCCAUUU